UACGUAGGUGGCAAGCGUUUGUCCGGAUUUACUGGGCGUAAAGAGCGCGCUAGGCGGUCGUUCAAGUCGCGUGUGAAAGCCCCCGGCUCAACUGGGGAGGGUCACGCGAUACUGAUCGACUCGGAAGGCAGGAGAGGGUAGUGGAAUUCCCGGUGUAGUGGUGAAAUGCGCAGAUAUCAGGAGGAACACCGGUGGCGAAGGCGGGUCUCUGGGCCGAUACUGACGCUGAGGAGCGAAAGCGUGGGGAGCGAACAGG
rnacentral:rRNA from 1 species